UCCUAGUAGUUACCGGCAGUUUUUUUAGUCACAAAAAACUAAAAAUGAGGGUUGCGCUCGUUACUGGAUUUAACCAAACAUUUCACAACACGCGCUGACGACAGCCAUGCAACACCUGUAUUAAUUUUAAUACUGAAAACAAAGAUAUCUCUAUCUUUGGUUUAUAAUUAAUAUGUCAAGAGCUGGUAAGGUUUUGCGCGCAUCAUCGAAUUAAACCACAUGCUCCACCGCUUGUGCGGGCUCCCGUCAAUUCCUUUGAGUUUCAACCUUGCGGCCGUACUCCCCAGGCGGAAUGUUUAACGCGUUAACUAUUUUUACUGAUUAAAUACCAAUAUUUAACAUUCAUCAUUGACUGCGUGGACUAC
rnacentral:misc_RNA from 1 species